UACAGAGGGUGCAAGCGUUAAUCGGACUGACUGGGCGUGAAGGGCGUGUAGGUGGUUGAUUAAGUCAGAUGUGAAAUGGCAGGGCUUAACCUUGUCAGGUCAUUUGAUACUGGUCGACUAGAGUUCAGGAGAGGGAAGUGGAAUUUCCGGUGUAGCGGUGAAAUGCGUAGAUAUCGGAAGGAACAUCAGUGGCGAAGGCGACUUCCUGGUCUGAAACUGACACUGAGGCGCGAAAGCGUGGGUAGCGAACAGG
rnacentral:rRNA from 1 species